rnacentral:lncRNA from 1 species
AACCCUAAUGCUGACUGAAUGGAAAAAGUUCAGUUUAGGGUUUAAAACCCUAAUGCUGACUAAAGGGAAAAAGUUCAGUUUAGGGUUUAAAACCCUAAUCCUGAUUAGAGGGAAAAGUUCAGUUUAGGGUUUAAAACCCUAAUGCUGACUAAAGGAAAAGAGUUCAGUUUAGGGUUUAAAACCCUAAUGCUGACUGAAGGGGAGAGUUCAGUUUAGGGUUUAAAACUCUAAUGCUGACUAAAGGAAAGAGUUCAGUUUAGGGUUUAAAACCCUAAUGUUGACUGAAUGGAAAGAGUUCAGUUUAGGGUUUAAAACCCUAAUGCUGACUGAAUGGAAAGAGUUCAGUUUAGGGUUUAAAACCCUAAUGCUGACUGAAUGGAAAAAGUUCAGUUUAGGGUUUAAAACCCUAAUCCCGACUAAAGGGAAAAGUUCAGUUUAGGGUUUAAAACCCUAAUCCUGAUUAAAGGGAAAGAGUUCAGUUUAGGGUUUAAAACCCUAAUGCUGACUGAAGGGGAGAGUUCAGUUUAGGGUUUAAAACCCUAAUGUUGACUGAAUGGAAAGAGUUUAGUUUAGGGUUUAAAACCCUAAUGCUGACUGAAUGGAAAGAGUUCAGUUUAGGGUUUAAAACCCUAAUGCUGACUGAAUAGAAAGAGUUCAGUUUAGGGUUUUAAACCCUAAUGCUGACUAA